rnacentral:rRNA from 1 species
GUCCUGGCCGUAAACGAUGGGCACUAGGUGUGAGGAGCAUCGACCCUCUUCGUGCCGAAGUUAACACAUUAAGUGCCCCGCCUGGGGAGUACGGCCGCAAGGUUGAAACUCAAAGGAAUUGACGGGUGCCCGCACAAGCGGUGGAGCAUGUGGCUCAAUUCGACGCAACGCGAAGAACCUUACCAGGUCUUGACAUCCCCUGACAGCCCCUGAAAGGGGGUUUUCCGCAAGGACAGGGAGACAGGUGGUGCAUGGCUGUCGU